rnacentral:rRNA from 1 species
AUUGAACGCUGGCGGCAUGCUUUACACAUGCAAGUCGAACGGUAACAGGCCGCAAGGUGCUGACGAGUGGCGAACGGGUGAGUAAUGCAUCGGAACGUGCCCAGUCGUGGGGGAUAACUACUCGAAAGAGUAGCUAAUACCGCAUACGAUCUAUGGAUGAAAGCGGGGGACCGUAAGGCCUCGCGCGAUUGGAGCGGCCGAUGUCAGAUUAGGUAGUUGGUGGGGUAAAGGCUCACCAAGCCAACGAUCUGUAGCUGGUCUGAGAGGACGACCAGCCACAUUGGGAAGGGGACACGCCCCAGGCCCCCAGGGGGGGCAGAGGGGGGAAAUUUUGGAAAAUGGGGGCAAGCCUGCUCCAGCAAGGCCGCGUGCAGGAAAAAGGCCUUCGGGUUGUAAACUGUUUUUGUAGGGAACGAAACGGCUCUGGUUAAUACCCGGGGUUAAUGACGGUACCGAAAGAAAAAGCACCGGCUAACUACGU